rnacentral:lncRNA from 13 species
AUGUGUGAGCUUCCUUCCCCUCCCCAGAGCUGCUUGGACAGGGCCUCCAAUGAGCAGAUGGUAUCUGCCGGGAGGAGACUGAAGCUGGAACUCGGGCUCGUGAUAGGCUGCACAGCCCAAUGGAAGUCCCCUUCCUUCCCAACCAAACUCGUUACAGAUGGAACAACAUCGCUCCAGGGGAAGUCAUUGGGCUGUUUUUUGGAAAUCCAUCCUCCAAUUUUUCUUUAUCUUCUAUAUAAAAUCAAUUUUAAGCAACAAUGAACCACUCUCUCCACUCUGUUCAAAAUACGCUACCGUUGUUUCUACUUGGUAUUUCGAUAACAUACUAAAUGUUGAUUACUGUGAUUUUAUUCACUUUAAAUAAAUGGAUGUCCUAGACACAUGACCACUCCAAACUAGAUUGGAAUGUCAAACAGCAAUAACACCAUCUAUUAAGAACCAGCAUAAUAUGUUAUGCAUGUAGCCAUACAUUAUUAACUUGGUAUAGAAUAGAGUAAUGCUAUCUACUUCAUAGCUGCUUAUAUUCUGCCCCAUGGCAUAUUAAAGAAACUUAAGAACAGUGGGCUACCCAGAGGGCUCUUGCUGAGUGUGCACAUGUUAAACCAACCGAGAGCGAGAGAGACAGACAGACAGACAGACAGACAGACAGACAGACAGACAGACAGACAGAGAGACAGAGAGACAGAGAGACAGAGAGACAGAGAGACAGAGAGACAGAGAGACAGAGAGACAGAGAGACAGAGAGACAGAGAGACAGAGAGACAGAGAGAUAAAGAGAAAGACAGAGAGAUAAAGAGAAAGACAGAGAGAUAAAGAGAAAGACAGAGAGAUAAAGAGAAAGACAGAGAGAUAAAGAGAAAGACAGAGAGAUAAAGAGAAAGACAGAGAGACAGAGAGAUAAAGAGAAAGACAGAGAGAAAGAGAGGGGGAGGGGGAGCAGCAGAGCGACGCAGGGUAAAGUAAAUCUAAGGCUGUUUGAGCCCUGCACCUCUUUUUCCAUGCAGCGUGUUGCAUUAAUACAGUAGCCUACGACACACAACCUGUAUCCCCCUGGGAUCUGCUCACAUCACAUGUGUUCUCUAUCUGUCUAGCAUCAUGUAGCUAGGCUACCAGUGGCUGUGUUCAUUAAGAACAUGCCAGAAGGAAUAACCCAAUAACGGAAGACAUCAAAUCUAUCCAGGGGAACCUCAAAGAGUGGGCAAAAUUUAAUCUAAAUAAAAAAUGUUGUGCUUAGUCAGCCUCUUAAGAUAAUUAACCCAGUGAUAUGUAGAGUACUUUUCCCCUUUAACUGUACGUUCGUCAAAAACAAGAAACAAAUUAUCUGCAGAAAUGUGCACAUUUGGAAGCAAUCAUGUCAGCGGUCCGAUUUGAAGGCAAGCUGACAGAAAGAUUGAACAGAGCUUAUCUUAUACCCUAAACAGACAAAGAGAGGCCUGAGGUAUAGAUAUCCUGCAAAUGGAAACGGCAUUAUUAAUAUCAUGAUGUCAUUACUGUAAUCUGACUUUCAAGGCAGUGUUCACUUCCCCAGAGGUCAUAUUCCAGUGCAACCUCUGCAGAAACCAAUGUUCUGAUAUUUACCACAUCUUCCAUAAGACCUGGCCAUUUCAAGUGUAUGCCUGUCACCAUCUUAUUUAAAAUGAUCAUGUUAAAGGGGCUGUGCUGUCAAAAACGUGAUUUCUCUGUGUUAUAUAUAUACACACACACACACACAAUACCAGUCCAAGGUUUGGACACACCUGCUAAUUCAAGUGUUUUUCUUUAUUUUUACAAUUUUCUACAUAGUAGAAUACUAAUGAAGACAUCAAAACUACGAAAUAACACAUAUGGAAUCAUGUAGUAACCAAAGAAUUGUUAAACAAAUCAGAAUAUAUGUUGUAUUUGAGAUUCUUCAAAGUAGCCACCUUUUUGCCUUGAUGACAACUUUGCACACUCUUGGCAUUCUCUCAACCAGCUUCAUGCUCUUCCAGCAUUCUUGAAGGAGUUCCCACAUAUGCUGAGCACUGGUUGCUUUUCCUUCACUCUGCAUUCCAAUUCAUCCCAAACCAGGCUGUCCAGUGCCUUUUACUGAGGAGUGGCUUAAGUCUGGCCACUUUGCCAUAUAGGCCUGAUUGGUGGAGUGCUGCA